GAAGAAGAAUAAAUUUAUCUUAAAGUGCGAUGAGAACCACAGAUGGCACCACUACCCCUGAAAUUGUGGCGUUCCUGUGGCAAUAUUUCAUACUAUUUUAUUACUGUUGCCACAGGAACGCCACAAAAUCGAGUUUAGUUUUUUGAAUCUAUAUUUGGUGUGUAUCUAGUGCAUAUUUUUCUUUUAAUUUUUACUUUUCUAAAAAGUGCGCUAUUCGUGAGUAUUUGGAACGAGCGAAAACAAUGCGGAAUGAUACGUAUCAUUAUAGAGAGAUAUAUCAUUGUAUAUUUAAAUUACACAACACACAAAUUACAGCGUAAACAUUAUGGACAGACCGCAAGAAGUCGAGAGUAAGAGUGGGUGGAGGACAAGCUAGGAGCGGAUAAACCACUAUCAACGAAGAGAGGAUAAAGGGGGAGGAGAGGGAGACGAGAAAAGGAAGAACGGAAGACGGAAAGGAGACGAGGUAAAUCGGGCGGCGAAAAAAAAAAAAAAAAAAAAAA